rnacentral:rRNA from 1 species
UACGUAGGGUGCAAGCGUUGUCCGGAAUUAUUGGGCGUAAAGAGCUCGUAGGCGGUUUGUCGCGUCUGCUGUGAAAACUGGAGGCUCAACCUCCAGCCUGCAGUGGGGUACGGGCAGACUAGAGUGCGGUAGGGGGAGAUUGGAAUUCCAGGUGUAGCGGUGAAAUGCGUAGAUAUCUGGAGGAACACCGGUGGCGAAGGCGGCAUCCUGGACCGAUACUGACGCUGAUGAGCGAAAGCCAGGGGAGCAAACGGGG